rnacentral:rRNA from 1 species
GAUGAACGCUAGCUACAGGCUUAACACAUGCAAGUCGAGGGGCAGCGGGAUUGAAGCUUGCUUCAAUUGCCGGCGACCGGCGCACGGGUGAGUAACGCGUAUCCAACCUUCCGUACACUCAGGGAUAGCCUUUCGAAAGAAAGAUUAAUACCUGAUGGUAUGAUGAGAUUGCAUGAUAGCAUCAUUAAAGAUUUAUCGGUGUACGAUGGGGAUGCGUUCCAUUAGGUAGUAGGCGGGGUAACGGCCCACCUAGCCUACGAUGGAUAGGGGUUCUGAGAGGAAGGCCCCCCACAUUGGAACUGAGACACGGUCCAAACUCCUACGGGAGGCAGCAGUGAGGAAUAUUGGUCAAUGGACGAGAGUCUGAACCAGCCAAGUAGCGUGAAGGAUGAAGGUCUUAACGGGAUUGGUAAAACUUCUUUUAUAAGGGAAUAAACCCUCCACGUGUGGAGCUUGUAUGUACCUUAUGAAUAAGCAAUCGGCUAAACUCCGUGCCAGCA